AGGAGAAAGUGGAAGUCAAAGAGGAUGAUAAAGGAAAAAAAAAAAAGCAAAACCCCAGCAGUGGUCAAAACAAACUCAAUUGACUGCCUCUGUGACGAAUUUCAAUAAAUCUUUCUUAUUUCUUUUUGCUAAAAUGGGAAGAUGAAGGAAAGAAGGUGGUGGGAUCCUUUAAUUUUCUCUUUCAGACUAUGGCUUGGAUGAAGCAAUGUUGAAUAAAAUGAAUUUCAACAAGAAUGAAUGGAUGGAAAAAAGACACUGAGUUAAACUGAAAAGAGUCCUUGGAUUUGUUCAACAGAGUUGCAAUUGGGGUAGUUUCUGUGCUACUAAAUACUAUAUUCUAAGCUAAAGUAGUGUAUCUGACCAGAAUUUUUAGAUGGAGGAGAAAAAGGACCUAGGAGGACAUGUUAGACUCAACUCAGGUGUUUCUUGACAUUGGUCAAUGACUAUGUGAGUUUUAGAUGUCAUAAAGUUACCUUGUAUUACAAGCAAAUUUUUCUUUGGCAAAAACUAGCGAGAUUUGAAAAAUUGCAUGUUUAUUUUACAGCAAAGUAAUAAGAUUACUUUUAUUUUCAAUUCAUCUAGUCAAAGAAAGGUAAAAAUGACAUCAUUU